rnacentral:rRNA from 1 species
AUUGAACGCUGGCGGCAUGCUUUACACAUGCAAGUCGGACGGCAGCACAGAGAAGCUUGCUUCUUGGGUGGCGAGUGGCGAACGGGUGAGUAACAUAUCGGAACGUACCGAGCAGUGGGGGAUAACUAAUCGAAAGAUUAGCUAAUACCGCAUAUCUUCUGAGGAAGAAAGCAGGGGACCAUUUGGCCUUGCGCUGUUUGAGCGGCCGAUAUCUGAUUAGCUAGUUGGUGGGGUAAAGGCCUACCAAGGCGAUGAUCAGUAGCGGGUCUGAGAGGAUGAUCCGCCACACUGGGACUGAGACACGGCCCAGACUCCUACGGGAGGCAGCAGUGGGGAAUUUUGGACAAUGGGCGCAAGCCUGAUCCAGCCAUGCCGCGUGUCUGAAGAAGGCCUUCGGGUUGUAAAGGACUUUUGUCAGGGAAGAAAAGGGCGGGGUUAAUACCCCUGUCUGAUGACGGUACCUGAAGAAUAAGCACCGGCUAACUACGUG